rnacentral:lncRNA from 1 species
AAGGGAUCCGAUGAGGUGGAGGUGGCCGAUGAUCGGGAGCUUGAACGGAGGCGACGGUAGCUUCCGGAGCAGGUUCUCUGUUCUGGACCUUGGUGUUGCCAAGUGCACGGCGACGAGGAAGAGGAAGAAGAGGAGGGCUAGGGACUCUGGAGAUGCGUGUUCGUAUAGAGGUGCGCUAGCGCUGGAGCCGCCAUGGCUGAUCAACCUGCUCGUUGCAGUUUUUGUAGAGCUCGGAAGUCGUGAUCCGUCAGACAGCAAGAAGAGUAUGCUACCAUUUUUUUUCUUUUCUGCAUCACCGCCAGAUCAGAUCAGACAGGAUUUUAUGAGAGAAUCCUAUGGAAUCAUCAUCCUUUUUAGUAAACUUCACCAGACGCAGGAACGCGAGCCGAUUAAUUGGCAAGCUUUUCUCUCAGAAUAUGUGUUUGGUGCUGGAUUAAUUGGCGUGCAGGUUGAAGAAAGGCUGCUUUAUAGAUUAGCCCCCGAAGAAAAAGGAAAUUCCGACGGAAAGUUUGUGUCUUGUGGUUUUGCAAAAAGGACCCUGGAAAGGCUAGAUUCUCAAGUUCCAGUCCUACCCGAGAUCUUUUGCAAAUAUAACCCUAUAAAUUCUGUUAUUUGCAAGUACUUUUACGUGUGUCUUGCAAAUCUUUCUUGCUAGCCCCUGCCGUCUAUGGCUAAUUGCAUCUGGGUCCCUGCCACCUUGUUUGUCUCAUAACUUCUUCCUUCUAGCUCCAUUUUGAGUGAUUCUUUCGCUCACACGUUCGUCUUAACGAGUAGAUUAGUUUGGUACUGCUUUUAUGGUACUGCUUUUAAGUAAUAUUUUUGAUGAUUGGUGUACUGUUUUUAAUUAAAUGCAUUUGUUUGCUUGUAUGUGCUUGUGUGACGCGUAUAGAAGAAGCGUAGUUCGAGGAAUCCAAAGAGGAGGGAGACUGAAGACUCUGAGCAGCAGAAGGGCUUGGAGGAAGGCAAGUGUCCUUGGUCAUUCCCGUUUAUACCUAAAUGACAUGCAUUGAUUCACAAUAUUUAUUUAUCGCAAGCAUUAAUAUGAUGGGUUCCUAUUAAGGAUGAUGCCUAGUUUCUUUUGAUCAUACCUUGCAGCCAGGUUGUUCAAAUAAUCUGGAGGGUAGAUGAUGCUUAGUUUGCUCAACUGGGUUGGUAAAUAAACAAUAUGGUUAAUUUUAUUUAUUUACUCUAUGUUCCUUUAUGUUGAUUUAAUUACAAGACCAUAUGUUCUAAACGAACAUGGAGCGACCACCCAGGAAAAUAGUACAACCACAAGGACUACAUGGCUCUGGUCUUGGCUAACUAAUUAGAGGACUCUAGUGUUGGAUUGGUGUUAAGGGGGGGCAUGUCUCGCGGAACCUCGUGCAUUGGAACACACUAGGGAAGUCUUUGUUAAGGCCUCUAGCGUCCCUAUGCAAUCACACCUCGGAAGUGUGGUAUUGUGCCUACUUUUGCACAGCAUGGUUGAAUCCAAAGUUCACCUGAACUUUUAUGCGACUUGUGGGUAAAGAUGUACAACCUCUGCAAAGUGUAAAACUGUUAUAACAGCCGUGCUCACGGUCAAGAGCGGCCUGGACCCUCACAUGAUUAAUUUACUUGAAGAUGAUACUAGUGUGUUAUUUAUGUUCAUGCUUAUGGUAUAUCAAUGCUCUAUAUUAAUUGUGGGAUGGUAUAAACUUACAUUUGCUAGUGAUUAGGUGUUGAAUAAAAACUUGACCAACUAAAAGUGCUAAUCGCAGUUAACCUUGUCAGCCUUCCACCAUAUAAAGCCUUGCAUAUCAUAGAUAUUUCUCUCUUGCUGAGUACGACAUGUGCUCACGCUUGUGUUUUAUAUAUUGCAUCUACAACGUCCGGAUUGCUGCUCAGACCCGGAGAACUUUGAAGAUUACUGAAGUUUUUGGAGGAGUUCUAGGUGAGUCCACCAGUCAGCUGCCUGUGGAGUUGUUGGAGAUGCGCUGCCUAUAUUAGAGAUUUCUAUCUCAAUUCUAGUUACAUAAUUUAUGUAAUUCUCUCUCUACGCUAUAACACAGUAUUUGAUAUUUACUGAAGUCAUCGUAUGUUUGAAACUUGAUCCUGGCAUACAUAUGAUAGUCAUCUGGUUUUACAUUUAAAACCGGGUGUGACAGGAUGCUACCGAUGGCUCUGCAACUUGAUGCAAUUCAUGCACGCUGCUGGGUGGCACCCAUGGUGCGAGAUGUCCAGGAAGAGUGCAUUGGCACUGUGGCGGCGGAUCCGACCAGUAGCAGCAGCUCGCACAGGUCACGACAAUGUGCAUCAUCACAAAAAUCCGAGGCUGCCCGCGCAGGUCGAGCUUUUAUUUGCUUGGAUCGGAUAUUCCUUCCUACUAAUAUCAUGGCUAUCUGUGUGAGGCUCAUAGGCUGGAGGUCUAAGGGUAGCCAUAGACACUACUAUAGAACUGACCGAGGGCUGAUUAGGCUCAUAGGCUCAUAGGCUCAUAGGCUGGAGGUCUGAUUAGCUCAUAUUCUUUGUCUCACCCUAUGGGUAUCGUGGAGGCACGGCGCCAAGCUGGCGGCACGGUGUAGCCUCAAUUCAGAACUUUCCUAGCCAGGGCGUGGCCGAGGGCGAUUGGUUGCUCAACCUGAUGAGAACUUGGGUGGGUGCUCCUAGAUGGGAGAGAAUAGGGUGACGGAUGAGAAUGCAGAUGAGGGACGGGGCUCAGACGAGGGGUGGGUUGGAGACAUGUUUUCACUGUUGAACUCUUAGCGUCAAGAUGAGAGGUGAGAUGAGAUACCGGUAGGACCUGCUCUUACCAUGGCACUUCAGCAACCCCACCCCAACCCCGCGCGCAAGUCAAAAUUUGAGGACCAUAUGUACAAUACGUGUGCAAACAGAACCAUAAUUUUACUAGUAUCGAGGGAUUUUAGUUAUUUCUUCUAAAAAAUCUCUUGGGAAAUCGUAUUUUUGUAGUACAACAUAUAUAGAAAAUAAGUAUUACUCACAAAUAAACUGCCCUUUUCUUUAGUAUUCUUGGUUUUUGUUAUUAUUUUAUUUAAUCUUAAGAUUUAUAUAUGCAUAAAAAAGUAAUUUAGUAUCUUCAAAUAUGGAAACGUGGUCUUAGGAAUAGGGCUCAUAUUUUAUUCUUGAGCAUGCCUAGUGGAAAAAUACUAUCUAAAAAACCGCAAAGAAAUUUAAUACCUAAGCCUUCGAUCCACUCUACUUUUUGUAUACUAGUUUACCUGCAAUCCACUGGCUUGCACAUUAUAUUUCAUCAUACGGAAAUGUCUGAGAUUGUGAACGGAAGCAAUUUCAUCUGUCUGCAACCCUGCAUAGCAUGUGACAGCCCGGGCUGCGUGCCAAGAAACACCCAGAGCUCCUGACACAACCGCGUGAGCACCUUCUCCGACAUGCGCACAUGAGGACCGCAUGCACCCAUAUGCAAGGUUCACAAAUACGUGCGUGCUUAAACUAUAUAUAUAUUAUACAUAGUUUAUUAUAUUUUUGGCAGGGAUAUGAUAAUCAUUAAUUAUUACUUGUAAAGAUUGGAAACGUUACAAACGAUUGUAGAAAAAAUGCGAGUCACCAGGAAGGUAGGUAGUAGAGCAUGCCGUCAGUGUCUUUCCUGUGACCUGUGUUCGUGGUGCACAUGGCAGAAUGCACAGUCUAUACAUAGGAACCAGAAGUUGGCUUCGAAACCAAAUCACUCAUUAGUCCUUCAGUACUGCAGUGAACGCUAUCUAGCUAGCUAAUUUCCCCUUGAAAUCAGUUUUCUUGCGUGGCCAUGGGUAGCCUUCCACUUGAAGCCAUGAUGCCACUGAACCCCGAUUCAUUCGCUGGGGAGUCCAGUGCCGUGGUCGACUUCCUCGCCGACUACUACCGCAACGUCGAUAAGUAUCCGGUCAUGGCCAACACCCAGCCAGGGACCAUCCGUAAGCUUCUUCCGGAGGCAGCCCCGGAGUUGGUUGGUACUCAACAAGUCGUGGGAAAUAGUGUAGUGUAAGGCCAACCAUGAUACCCUUAUACUACCUAUACUACUCAUGUAUACUACCCAUACCACAGGCGUAGGUUUCAGUAGUAUGAAAUUAAUCUUGACCGUCGGAUAUGUUUAUACUAGUCAUUUUCGAACACAAGUAUAGUCUAGUGUUGUGUUCCGUAAAAGAGCUCAUAUAAUAUGUUAUAAAACUUAUUUGUGAAAGCUGAAGACAACACCAGGGGAUAAAUUCCAGAAUAGGUGAGAACAAAAAUUUAAAAGGGCAAAAUUUGUUGAUGGAUGGAAAUGCAUAGAAUGCUUAUUACUCAAUCGACUCACAUCUCUUUUUUCUAGGAAACAAAGCUCUCAUUAGUACUCUACGUUGGAAACAAAGCACUUAUUGUUGUUCAUAGCAGCUGAGAUUGACUUACAUAUAUUUAUUUGCAAACAGGUGUGAAAUGUGAUACAAUAAUUCAGAAAGCUAGACAUCCUGAGCCAUGCGAGGGAUAAGAAGAAGCUUCUCCUUACGGUGCACAUCCAUCCCAUACGACUCUGACAUAUCGACGCCUGUCGACCCCGGCAGAAGCUCCCAGUUGAAGUGGUAGAUGAGGUUGGCAAGAAUGAUUUCGAAAGUGGCGGUGGUGAAGUUUAUACCCGGGCACAUCCUUCGCCCAGACCCAAACGGCAAGAAACGGAAGUCGUUCCCCUGGAAGUCAGAAGCAGCAUCCACGGCUUCUUCCAUGAACCGCUCAGGCAUGAACUCCUCUGCAUUCUCCCAGUAGGUGGAGUCCCUGCCUAGAGCCCACGCGUUGACGAUUACACGUGUCCCAGAGGGUAUGGUAUAUCCCUCCACCUCCCAUUCGGCCAUGGACAAGUGGGGUAUCAAAAGAGGCCCCGGCGCGUGGAGCCGCAUUGACUCUUUCAUCACCGCCGUCAGGUAGCUCAUGCCGCUCAGGUCUUGUUCAGUGACCAGUUCCUUCCCCUUGGUUGCGCACCCCCGCACCUCAGCUUGAAGCUUGGUCAUCACCUUGGGAUUCCGCAUCAGCUCAGCCAUGGCGUAGUCUAGUGCUAUGUAGGUUGUGUCCGUCCCAGCUUCAAACAUGUCCUACAUGAAUAUAUCGGUAAGUAGAACUCCAAAUCAAAUUUAACCAAGCUAGUCCAUGAAACGUCUCAUAUGUACCUCUCGUGAAAAAUAAACAUACCAUCAGUAUUGCCUUGACGUUGUCUCUGGUCAGGCCGUACUCUUGUUGAACGGAGAGCAGCACAUCGAUGAAGUCCUCCUCGUCCUCACCAUCGACCGGCUUGGUCUUGUGCUUGUCGAUGAGGCUGUCCAAAAGGUCAUCCCAUAUCUUCCUGUGCUUCACGGCCUUGGCCGAUACCAAGUCCAACCUCGCCAAGCUCGGGAAAUAGUCGUCCAGGUUAAAUCCCCCCAGGAGCUUGGCGUUCGUCUCUAACAGCUCCCGGAACAGCUGGUUCCGACCUUGUUCCCUGGGGAGCCUGCCCGUCACGGCCUGGCACACGAUGUCGUUGGCGAAGAAGCUGAAGAGCUCGCUGACGUCGACCGCGAUGCCCAUGGCGGCGGCGGCCGUCACCUUGGCUAAAACCAGCUGGACCUCCUGCUCGCGGGCGGCGCGGUUGGACCGGACCUUCGCCGCGGUAAGGAGGUGGGUGGUGAUCACCUUCCUGGCCUGGCGCCAGUACUCACCGUAGGGGGCGAAGCCGACGUCGGUGCAGCCGUAGAACAGGACGUCGGCCACCGCGGAGUGCGGCCGGGAGGCGAAGACGUGGUCGUGUGUGCGCAGGACGGCCUUGGCGGCGCGUGGGGAGGAGACGACGAGCGUUGGCACGGCGCCGAGGCGGAGGAGCAUCACGUCGGGCCCGUGCCUCUUGGCGAGGUCGCGGAGGGAGUGGUGGGGAAGGGAUCCGAUGAGGUGGAGGUGGCCGAUGAUCGGGAGCUUGAACGGAGGCGACGGUAGCUUCCGGAGCAGCUUCUCUGUUCUUGACCUUGGUGUUGCCAAGUGCACGGCGACGAGGAAGAGGAAGAAGAGGAGGGCUAGGGACUCUGGAGAUGCGUGUUCGUAGAGGUGCGCUAGCGCUGGAGCCGCCAUGGCUGAUCAACUAGUGUGCACAACACAC